GGGGAUUUAGCUCAGCGGUAGAGUGCUUGCCUAGCAAGCGUGAGGCCCUGGGUUCGGUCCCCAGCCCCG
rnacentral:tRNA from 1 species